UUUUCAUAGAUUCUUUUCAUCACCACAUCUAACCCAGUCUGUGUUGCUGGCAUCAUCCCCGGAGUUCUUUUUUUCUUUUCUUGACCAACCAUCUGGCGAUCGAAUACAAGUAGAGAGUGUUGGUUAUAUAGCAUAUCACCUUCACCUACCAUUGGUCAGAGAUACACUUCAUCAUCAUAACUAGUAUAGGAAGCUGGAUCUAGUGAUUAUCAGUUGGGUAUAGUCAUACCUGUUUCCACAAGUCACACUAGUUCAUCCUACACCAGUUCAUCACACCAAUCCACCAAUCAUCUCAUCCAAUUCAUCUCAUCCAAUUCCAUCAAUCAUCCCCUGUGAUCCCACCCCUCACCCAUUUCAUCCCAUCGACCCUCCCUGCACCACUUCUCCUCACAUAUACCCUUGCCUGGUUUAU
rnacentral:misc_RNA from 1 species